AAGAGACAGCAGUAGCCACGGGAAUACGAAGGGGGCUAGCGUUGUUCGGAAUUACUGGGCGUAAAGCGCACGUAGGCGGAUAUUUAAGUCAGGGGUGAAAUCCCGCAGCUCAACUGCGGAACUGCCUUUGAUACUGGGUAUCUUGAGUAUGGAAGAGGUUAGUGGAAUUGCGAGUGUAGAGGUGAAAUUCGUAGAUAUUCGCAGGAACACCAGUGGCGAAGGCGGCUAACUGGUCCAUAACUGACGCUGAGGUGCGAAAGCGUGGGGAGCAAACAGGAUUAGAUACCCGCGUAGUCCCUGUCUCUUAUAC
rnacentral:rRNA from 1 species